rnacentral:rRNA from 1 species
UACGUAGGGAGCAAGCGUUGUUCGGAUUUACUGGGCGUAAAGGGCGCGUAGGCGGCGUGGUAAGUCAGCUGUGAAAUCUCCGAGCUUAACUCGGAACGGUCAGCUGAUACUGCUGUGCUAGAGUGCAGAAGGGGCAAUCGGAAUUCUUGGUGUAGCGGUGAAAUGCGUAGAUAUCAGGAGGAACACCUGUGGUGUAGACAGCUUACUGGACCACGACUGACGCUGAGACACGAAAGCGUGGGUAGCAAACAGG